GCUCUUGUUGAACACAGAGCAUGCUGGAAACUACUCCUGCGAGGCUGACAAUGGCCUGGGAGCCCAGCACAGUGAGGUGAUGACACUCAGUGUCAUAGGAAUUUCCAGGAACAGAACUGGUCCUGCCACUGUACGAGUCAUUGUGGGGUUGUUUGGCCUUUCAGUUACUGCUGCUUCGCUGUAUUACUUCAGGACCCAGAAGAAAUCAGUCCCAUUGCAUAUCAGGAGGCUUCCUUGUCCGGACCUGCCACAAUCCAUCUGGAGGAGUCUGUCCACUAUGAGUUACUGGCCUUAAAGGACCUGCAGCCAGUGUACACCAAUGGUGAGAUCUAAGGGACAGGGAAAUCCAGGGGUGAUCCA
rnacentral:lncRNA from 1 species